GGGGGGUUAGCUCAGUUGGUUCAGAGCACCUGGUUUACACCCAGGGGGUCACUGGUUCGAAUCCAGUACUCCCCACAA
rnacentral:tRNA from 2 species